rnacentral:pre_miRNA from 1 species
UCAGGCCACUUCAUUUACCAGCGAGAAGACUAGGGGCGUCGAAUCCGAUGACCCCCUCCUCUCCGCAGGCGAUUCCGGCCGCCCGGA